UACGUAGGCAGCGAGCGUUGUUCGGAGUUACUGGGCGUAAAGGGUGUGUAGGCGGUUUUCUAAGUCUGGUGUGAAAUCUCCCGGCUCAACUGGGAGGGUGCGCCGAAAACUGGAAGGCUAGAGUGCGGGAUGGGAGAGUGGAAUUCCUGGUGUAGCGGUGAAAUGCGUAGAUAUCAGGAGGAACACCUGUGGUGUAGACGGCUCUCUGGACCGCAACUGACGCUGAGACACGAAAGCGUGGGUAGCAAACAGG
rnacentral:rRNA from 1 species